rnacentral:lncRNA from 1 species
UUCAAAGCCAAACUCCCUCACUGAGCGUCCUCGUGUAACAGCCUAGGACUGGUACAAAUCUGGUGAGGGACCCACGAACAAGGAAAGCAGCAAGAGACAGGCUUGGGCCUCUCGACAUGAAAACCAUUAUCUACCUGACCCAUUGGCUGACAGCGCAAACGUCAGUUCAAAUGUGAAAUCAAAAUCAAUUCUGCUUUCAGCGCUAUUUAAAAUCAUCAUUCUGGCUGACAGUAUUGUGCAGUGAGGAGGACAACUCUGCAAUUUCUUUACUGAAACUUCACUUCUCUAACCUAUUUGCCAAGAUAAUAUCAAGAAGAAAGAAAAACAUCCAGUGAGAAAUUCAGAUUCUGUGACUUGAGAGAAACCUGAAGGUUAUCUAGUCCAAUCAUAGAGAAUAAAUGAGUAUGGGAAAGAAACUUCAUGUGGGGUUUCUGUCAACUAAUGACUCUAUUGAUGAGCAGUAAUGGGUGGUUCUCUCAUCAUAAAUAGUCAUGAGAUGCUCAUGAUUAUGAACUUUAAAGUGUAUCUGAAGCCAUCAGGAAAUUAAGCACAAAGCAGCAAUCUUACCCUGGCAGACAGAGAAACAGAGGCUUAAGGAUUAAGAUGACUCUACCUGAAAAACAGAGGCUUAAGGAUUAAGAUGACUCUACUACCUGAAAAAUAGCAGAGCUGGCAAAGAAAACCAGGGUCAGGAAGAAAUUUGCCUUGAGUCUCCAAUGAUGAGACUCUAGACUUAGGACUUCAGGACUUUUAAGUUGAUACUUGGAAUGAGUAAAGACUUUGGGGGACUGUUGGGAAGGGAUGAUUGUAUUUUGCAAUAUGAGGGGAACAUGAGAUUUGGAAGGCCAGGGGCAGAAUGCUAUGCUUUGGAUAUUUGUCCUCUCCAAUACCCAUGUUGAAAUGUAACCCCAGUGUUGGAGGUCAGGACUGAUGGGAGGUGAUUGGAUUGUGCGGGCAGAUCCCUUAUGGAUGGCUUGGUACUAUUCUCAUGAUAAUGAGCAAGUUCUUGCUCAGCAAGUUUACAUGAGAUCUGGUCGUGUAAAAUUGUGUGGCACCUCCUCAUCCAUGUUCCCAUUCUCGCUGUGUGAUGCUCCUGCUUUCCUUUCCCUUUAUGCCAUGAUUGUAGCUUUCUGAGGCCUCACCAGAAGGUGAAUUAGAUGCUAGUGCCAUACUUACUGCAGAACUGUGAACCAAUU